rnacentral:rRNA from 1 species
GACGGAGGAUGCAAGCGUUAUCCGGAAUGAUUGGGCGUAAAGCGUCCGCAGGUGGCAGUUCAAGUCUGCUGUCAAAGACCGGGGCUUAACUUCGGAAAGGCAGUGGAAACUGAACAGCUAGAGUAUGGUAGGGGCAGAGGGAAUUCCUGGUGUAGCGGUGAAAUGCGUAGAGAUCAGGAAGAACAUCGGUGGCGAAGGCGCUCUGCUGGACCAUAAACUGACACUCAGGGACGAAAGCUAGGGGAGCGAAUGGG